ensembl:snRNA U6 U6 spliceosomal RNA
UUGCUUUGGCAGCACAUAUACUAAAAUUGGAACUAUACAGAGAAGAUUAGUAUGACCCCUACGCAAGGAUGACACACAAAUUUGUGGUGUUACAUAUUUUU